AAAUUCGUGUCUUUGGGGUACU
rnacentral:miRNA from 1 species